rnacentral:lncRNA from 1 species
ACUCAACUCUUUAUUUUUUAGUGUUAAUUUCGUACCAUUCCCUAUACAUAUAAUGAAUUACAAAUAUAUUCCUAUAAAAUUUAAAUUUCAUAUAUUGUCUUUGCAAAAGUCCUGAUAUUUUCAAAUAUAUCACUGUCGUUAGAUCCGUUAGAAAAAAUUAGUUAACCGUAGGUAAAAAAUUUAACCCUAGUUAGUUAAUGAGGUGAAUUAUCCUUUUUACUCUUUUUUAAUUAAUAGAUGUGACUUUCGGAGAGACAUAUUUGUGACCGCAAAAAGGUCAUUUUACUUAUAAAAUAAACAGUGUUUUAAUGAUAACAAAAUGAAGGGACAUAUUUAAAAAUAUUAGAACUUUUGUAGGGACAACAUAUAAAAAUUGAACUUUGUAGGGAUAUAUUUGCAAUUCACUAUAUUUGCACGGACUUGUAUAAAAUUAAUUUUAUUUUUUAAUUUAGAAAAUACUUCUAAAAAUACCUUUUUUUUUACUUUUGCUAACUUUCAAAAAUCUAUAUUUUGUUUUCUUAAAAUUUUAAAAAUAUUUUCAGAAGAAUAUUGCGUUAAUGACGAGAGCAAAAUGACCAAAUUAUCUUUAUUUUUUUAUAAAAAAAUAAUUUUUAAUAUAUUUUUGUCAUUUUGAAUUGUAUUUUUUGGUAUAAAUUAAAAAUAAUGAACGAAUAUUUAUAAGGAGAUUUUUAUAAUUUAGCCUAAUAAUAAUUAGCGUCUUAAAGUGAA